rnacentral:rRNA from 1 species
CCUACGGGAGGCAGCAGUGGGGAAUAUUGCGCAAUGGGCGAAAGCCUGACGCAGCGACGCCGCGUGCGGGAUGAAGGCCUUCGGGUUGUAAACCGCUGUCGGGAGGGACGAAUCAAUGACGGUACCUCCAAAGGAAGCACCGGCUAACUCUGUGCCAGCAGCCGCGGUAAUACAGAGGGUGCGAGCGUUGUCCGGAAUUACUGGGCGUAAAGGGCGCGUAGGCGGUUCGGUAAGUAGGGGGUGAAAUGCUGCGGCUCAACCGCAGCCCUGCCUUCUAAACUGCCGGACUUGAGCGUAACAGAGGCAGGUGGAAUUCCCGGUGUAGCGGUGGAAUGCGUAGAGAUCGGGAAGAACAUCGGUGGCGAAGGCGGCCUGCUGGGUUACUGCUGACGCUGAGGCGCGAUAGCGUGGGGAGCAAACAGGAUUAGAUACCCUGGUAGUCCACGACGUAACGAGUAGGUACGUAGGCGCGUGGGGAGGCGACCCCGUCCGGUCGCCGUCGCGUACGACGAACUAACGUACCCGUCCCGUCGGGAGGUACGGCCGCGACGGCGUGAAACGUAAAGUAGAAGUUAGACGGCGUGUAGACGUUGCCGAACGGACGACGACGAGGGGAGGUUAGG